UGCUCGCUUCCCUGUUUCCUCUGAGCUUCAUGGAGCAGGAACAUCCGGGCAGGUUGGACCCGGAGCGACGGUGGACUCACCUGACAGAAAGGAGAAAUGAUAAGAAGAUUCAAAAACUUACCAGCCGCCUCAUGUGACGCUCUGCAGGUAUUUGUACCCCCCCCCCAACCAGCCAGCAGCACAAAGGCUUUUAUGUCCCUCAGAGGAAUGAUGCGGUUUCAUGUUGAGGUUCAACGACGGCUCUCUGUCCCAGUCAGCUAUGACAGUGUGAGCAACACCAGGACCCUGAAACUGAAGCAGCUAAAUGGAAUCCAGCCAUCAUUCAUUUGCUCAUUUACUGUGGGGGCGUCCUGUUAGCCCCCCUUUUGUACCGAGGCUCAGUCCUUACUGCAGCAACCUGUCUCUCUCUCUCUCUCUCUCUCUCUCUCUCUCCUCACUUUCCUGUCUUUCUUCAGCUGUCACUAU